rnacentral:rRNA from 1 species
AGAACGAACGCUGGCGGCAGGCCUCAAACAUGCAAGUCUAGGGGGGUAGCAAUACCCACCGGCGGACGGGUGCGUAACACGUGGGAAUAUACCUUUCGGUACGGAACAACUGCGGGAAACUGCAGCUAAUACCGUAUACGUCCUAACGGAGAAAGAUUUAUCGCCGAAGGAUUAGCCCGCGUCCGAUUAGCUAGUUGGUGAGGUAAUGGCUCACCAAGGCUCCGAUCGGUAGCUGUUCUGAGAGGAAGAUCAGCCACACUGGGACUGAGACACGGCCCAGACUCCUACGGGAGGCAGCAGUUGGGAAUCUUGGACAAUGGGGAAACCCUGAUCCAGCCAUGCCGCGUGAGUGAUGAAGGCCUUCGGGUUGUAAAACUCUUUCGACGGGGACGAUAAUGACGGUACCCGUAGAAGAAGCUCCGGCUAACUUCGUGCCAGCAGCCGC